UAUUUUUAAUAAAAUAUAAAACGUGACUCAGUCAUUUUAAUGUGAUUACUGGUUUAGCAACAGAACCAUGUGACAGAUUAGUGGUUCCUGGAAUUAAAAGGUCAUAUUACAGGAAUAUGUUACUAAGUAACUUAGUUACAGUAAUCAAUGGCUGUCAUUGAUUUAUCAGUAAAAAGCCACAGGAAAUCCCCAACGUUCAAUAACAGGAAGUAGAAAAUGUUUAUAAAGCAUCACCGACAACAGUCGAGAGCUCAUAACCUACUGACUGGUUCUACCUACAGACAGGUUCUACAGACUGGUUCUACCUACAGACUGGUUCUACAGACUGGUUCUACCUACAGACAGGUUCUACAGACUGGUUCUACUGACUGGUUCUACUGACUGGUUCUACCUACAGACUGGUUCUACCUACAGACAGGUUCUACAGACAGAUGCAGCUCACAAAUGUGGUCAAAGCGUUGGGGACAAUGUGUCUGAUGCUAACAGAUGGAUUUCCAGUUCUACAGGACAAACCUCCAGAGAUCAUCGGACCACAGCGAGUCCAAGUCCACGUUCGUCUGGGUGAAACGACGCUCCUUCAUUGUGAUGCGUUCGCUAACUGUGACAGUGACGAGACUCUGAUUUACUGGAUCACCAAUAAGUCGUUUCCUGAAGAUACGUUGAACAGUGACAGGAUAGUGGAGUCAGACGAGUCGACCAUGGUGGGCGGGGCCAUCGUACACAGGAGUCUGCUGUUGAGAAGCAUCACAUCAGAGGAUCUAAACUCCACCUUCACAUGUGUCGUAUCCAAUCCUCUGGGAAUCGUAAAGAAAUGUUUUCAACUAACGUCACAUGACUCAACCUAAUAAACAACUACAGAUGGACAACCUUAUCACAGGGGGCGGGGCCACAAAACUGUGAUUGUGUCUGAUCUCAGGGUCACGUGAUCAACAUUGAUGUCAGCAUUAGAAUACCGACCAAUGUGUGUUUUUGUGUAGCUUUGGAAGUCAUUUCUGUGUGUUUGAGUUGCAAUUUUACUCUAAGUCUGUUAUUUUUAUAGUCGUCGUUUGUAUUUUGGUUUUCUAUUUGUGUAACUUUUGGUUGAAUUGGUGUUUUUCUGUUGUUUGUGCAACUAUUGGUUAAUUUUGUGUAUUUUUGUUGUCAUAUAUAUAUAUAUAUACACACACACAUUUUGUGUUUUUUUUUUAAUUUUUUUUUUUUUACCUUUUUAAUAUUUUUCAGUAAAUGUAUUUUUUUGAGCCAAUC
rnacentral:lncRNA from 1 species